CAUGGGCUGGCACCCACAUUCCAGAGUGGCCUGGCUUCAACUUUCACACAUCUACCAUUAUGCUGGACCCUCCUCUGACUCCUCCUGCAUCUUCAGGUCUCUCGUGGAUUUUCCUGGUCAUGGACCGUCUCCUAGGCAGCUUUAAGAGCCAGAUCUCCUUUCAAGAAAGAACUCUCUGCCCAGCUGUGAGCAGCUCAGAAGCCCACAGAUCUAGCUGCGGCCACUUCCUGAGUCACCUUGGCUUCUGGCCAAAGCCAGGGUCUUUCCUGGCUGAUGACUGCGCAUGUCUAAGAUAGGGUCUCACUCUGUUGCCCAGGCUGGAGCAGUGGAGCGAUCAUAGCUCGGGGCAGCUCUGAACAUCAGGCUUCUAGCAAUCUGCCUGCCUCAGCCUCCAGAAGAGCUGGGACUACAGGUGUGUGCCACCAAACCUGGCUACUGUUAUUCUUUGCAUUGUGCCAGUCACUCCCAGCCCCCAGCCUAUUUUGUCACUUCCAACCUCCAUUCCAAAAAGAAUUUUUUUUCACUCCUUGUUUCAGGGAAAAGUUGAGAUAACAGAAAACAAAGGAAAAUAGAAUCUCCCUCCAGCUUUUGAAAUUCAAAAUCCUAUGCCCUUUAAUGAGGAUCUCAGGUCCCAGAAAAUAAGUUUGGCAUUUAUUAUGAAUAAGUAUAGGCUUCAACCCUUGAGCCAGAAAAGGAUAUCCAGGCUGGAAGGGAGGGGUAAGGAUAGGGAGAAUUUCAGAGGGAAAACAGAUAAAGGAACAAGGGGAAAGAAUCUGACCUAAAGAGGUGGACAGACAAGAGGCUGGAUCAAACUCCACCUGAAGGUGCAUUUUUUAGGAAGCAGGUAGGAUCUGAGCAGCAUUAGAUUUCCCAGCUUCUACUCCAGAAAGUUGGGGAUUACACUGGCUAUCUUUCCCGGUGGCAUCUGGCCAGGGUCUCUUGUCCAUCACAAUGAGCAUGCUACUUAUUGCACAUUCACCCCACAGAGGCCCUGAGAUUUGCCAGCUCCCAGUGUGACUUUCCAUCAGAACAACCUCCCCCCUUCCAUCAUUGCAGGACACG